UACGUAGGGGGCAAGCGUUGUCCGGAUUUAUUGGGCGUAAAGAGCGUGUAGGCGGCCUGACAGGUCUGCUGUGAAAACUCGAGGCUCAACCUCGAGAUGUCGGCGGAAACCGUCUGGCUAGAGUCCGGAAGAGGAGAGUGGAAUUUCUGGUGUAGCGGUGAAAUGCGCAGAUAUCAGGAAGAACACCUAUGGCGAAGGCAGCUCUCUGGGACGGUACUGACGCUGAGACGCGAAAGCGUGGGGAGCAAACAGG
rnacentral:rRNA from 1 species